rnacentral:lncRNA from 1 species
ACAGUCACUAUUGCAGGGGGUGGGAGAGCCGCUUUAGGCUGGGUUGAAGAAGCAGCCUUGGAGGGGGCUCGGGCAAAAGAUUUCUUUGAUUUUUUUAGCAAGGCCAUCUUAUCAACCCAUUUCAUCUUCAACACAUUUUUCAUGGAGGGUUUAGCUUUAGAUGAUGCAAGAAGAGGCCUGAUGAAGAACCGACAAAAAGUUCAGUAAGGGGA